GCAACGGUCGGACCCUCCCCCCUCCUCCCCCCCCCCACACACACGCACACGCGCGUUCAACUACGUGGGCUUUCUCUUCCUCCUCACGUUUCCUUCGAAGCCUAUGGAGUCACGCAUCCACAUGCCCGCUGCGCCGCAUCGCCAGAGCAGCGCUCCUCCAUCUUCAUUUCUGCCACCCGAGCCGCUGUGUGUAGCGGACAUUCUGUCGGAGCUGCUUCCUUUCCUCCUCGCGGCGCCGCAGCCACGUGACGGAUGCUCACCAAGCAGCUCUGCCCAGGAACCUGCUGAGGAUCCGGUCCUCCCCAUCCCACCAACCGUUGCCAGUGAGCAUCGUGUGCAGGUGUCGAUCCGUGGUCAGCGCUACGAGACGGCGAUGGAGGUGGCCCUCACGUACUCCCUCUUCUUCUUUGUGUUCUUUCACUGGCCCUUCAGUGAGGAGGACGAAGGCAGUGAUGCAGCAGGGUGCACGAAUGACGUCGCCGACGUGAAGCGGGCGCCGCGAAGUGUCGGCGACGCCGUUAUGGCCGCCGCCGCUGCGCGAGACUUGCCGAAAGAGACCCAACUGCUGCGCCACUACACCCGCGUUGUGGAACCCGUGCUUCGCGUCUUCCUUGACCACUGGGCCGCACCGCUGGACGCCGCAGCAGCGGCACAAACAGAGGGAGAAAGCGCUGCCAGUGCAGAGACGGAGGAGGCGGGUGAUGCGGCGCGGCUGCCGCUUCUUCCGCCGCUGCCGCAUCCCGUCCGCAUCGCCUACGACGCCUCCACGCGUGUGUGGAAGUUUGAGUUUGCCGCGCGGCUCACGGCAGAGGCAGCGGCGGAGGCGCGCUCUGGGCGUCAGUGUGGUGAUAGCGGCGCAGCCGUGUCACUGGCCGCCGCCGAUGGGUGCGCCGCCGUAGCGACCGACGAGCUCAACAACAGUCCCUUUCUCCUGCUCCAGAGCGAGUACAUGGGACUGCUGCUGGUGUUCCUGCGCCGGUGUGCCAAGGUACGCGCGGAGAGGCGGGCCGCAGGUGAAGGUGCUGCGGGCUGCACCGUGGCACCGUACCCCUCCCUGCCCAUCCGCUGGGCGGAGAUGAACUACGACGAACAGCUAUCCGUUGUCCAGCUUAUUCGGCGCUUCGGCGUGGUAUCGCUGGCGCGCACGUACACGCAUCCGACGGCACCCGUGACCACGUCGCUGUACAUUGGUGCGGAGGCGGCGGCGGCGACGGCCCGGGCAAAGGCGGAGGGGGAAGCCUGCUCGCUGCGCGCGCGCGCCUCAGAGUCCAUCGGCAAGCAGCAACAGGAAAUACAGCAGGCGGCGAGCGUCGCUGUGGACACCGCCGAAGUGGUCAAGAAGAAGCGGUGCAUCGACGAGGAUGACUUUGAUGGACUCGUGCUAUCCGCAAAGGGAUGCGCGCGAUGUGGCAUGGCUGAGCAUUCCACGGAGGAGUGCCACUUCUAAGCGAAAAGCGGAUCACGACACACACACACACACACACACACACACACACACACAUGUGAGGAGAGGCGAAUACAUAGGAUGGGACGCAGGAGCUGGUGGUAAUGAUGGCAG
rnacentral:misc_RNA from 1 species